UACGUAGGGUGCAAGCGUUAAUCGGAAUUACUGGGCGUAAAGCGUGCGCAGGCGGUUAUGUAAGACAGAUGUGAAAUCCCCGGGCUCAACCUGGGAACUGCAUUUGUGACUGCAUAGCUAGAGUACGGUAGAGGGGAUGGAAUUCCGCGUGUAGCAGUGAAAUGCGUAGAUAUGCGGAGGAACACCGAUGGCGAAGGCAAUCCCUGGACCUGUACUGACGCUCAUGCACGAAAGCGUGGGAGCAAACAGG
rnacentral:rRNA from 1 species